UACGGCUGUGUUACAUUGAAAACACAAGUUCCCGUAUGAUCACCAAAGUUAAGCAAAAUUGAGCCUGGCCAGUACCUAGAUGGGUGACCGAUUGGAGAUACUUG